GCCUUCGUAGUGUAAUGGUCAACAUACUCGGCGAGUAUUCGAGAAAUCAGUGGUUCGAGUCCCGGCGAGGGCA
rnacentral:tRNA from 1 species